rnacentral:ncRNA from 1 species
CUCUUAUCCAGAGAGGCGGAGGGACUAGGCCCGAUGAAGCCCGGCAACCAACAAACCACAAUGGUUUGGAAAGGUGCCAAUUCCUACAGAUCUUUAUUGAUCUGAAAGAUAAGAG